UACAGAGGUCUCAAGCGUUGUUCGGAUUCAUUGGGCGUAAAGGGUGCGUAGGCGGCGCGGUAAGUCGGGUGUGAAAUCUCGGGGCUUAACUCCGAAACUGCAUUCGAUACUGCCGUGCUUGAGGACUGGAGAGGAGACUGGAAAUUUACGGUGUAGCAGUGAAAUGCGUAGAUAUCGUAAGGAAGACCAGUGGCGAAGGCGGGUCUCUGGACAGUUCCUGACGCUGAGACACGAAGGCCAGGGGAGCAAACGGG
rnacentral:rRNA from 1 species